rnacentral:rRNA from 1 species
AUUGAACGCUGGCGGCAUGCUUUACACAUGCAAGUCGAACGGCAGCGCGGGCUUCGGCCUGGCGGCGAGUGGCGAACGGGCGAGUAAUGCAUCGGAACGUGCCCUGCAGUGGGGGAUAGCACGGCGAAAGCCGGAUUAAUACCGCACACGACCCGAGGGUGAAAGCGGGGGACCGAAAGGCCUCGCGCCAUUGGAGCGGCCGAUGUCGGCUUAGCAAGUUGGUGGGGUAAAGGCUUACCAAGGCGACGACCCGUAGCUGGUCGGAGAGGAGGACCAGCCACACGGGGAGUGAGACACGGCCCAGGCGCCUACGGGAGGCAGCAGUGGGGAAUUUUAGACAAUGGGGGCGACCAUGAUCCAGUCAGGCCGCGUGCGGGAAGAAGACCUUCGGGUUGGAAACCGCUUUUGUUCGGGAAGAAAUCCUCUGGGCUAAUACCCCGGGGGGAUGACGGUACCGGAAGAAUAAGCACCGGCUAACUACGUG